AUCGUAAACAUUGUCCAAGACAAGAAAGAGGGUUCGAAUGUGGCUACUUUGUUAUGAGAUUCAUUAAAGAGAUAAUUUUUUAUCCUACAAUUAUUGCUUCAAAGUUUGGUGAUAAAAAAAAAACAUAUUCUCAAGUAGAAUUCGAUGAAAUUAGAGGAGAAUGGGCUACUUUUGUGCUACAACUAAUCAUGAAUCAUGUUGAUGCAUCAUGAUCACCAUGCAUGGUGAG